UACGUAGGUGGCAAGCGUUAUCCGGAAUUAUUGGGCGUAAAGAGCGCGCAGGUGGUUGAUUAAGUCUGAUGUGAAAGCCCACGGCUUAACCGUGGAGGGUCAUUGGAAACUGGUCAACUUGAGUGCAGAAGAGGGAAGUGGAAUUCCAUGUGUAGCGGUGAAAUGCGUAGAGAUAUGGAGGAACACCAGUGGCGAAGGCGGCUUCCUGGUCUGUAACUGACACUGAGGCGCGAAAAGCGUGGGGAGCAAACAGG
rnacentral:rRNA from 1 species